AAGAAAGUGACAGAGCGGUUAUGUAGCCGACUUGAAAUCGGCCUAUGGGGGUUCGACCCCUCCCUUUCUCG
rnacentral:tRNA from 1 species